AAUAACCAAAAAUAAUACUUGGUAAUUUUUCUUAUAUCUCCCCCCCAGAGCCCAGGUAUCAUAUACACCCCCAAGAUAAAGAGCUCUGAAUACUAGAAGAAAAGCACCUAUACCUAACAAGAUUAAAUGAAUACCUAAAAUUGUAAUAAUUUUAUUUCUAUCUUUCCA
rnacentral:antisense_RNA from 13 species